AGAAAAAUUGAAGACAGCGACGGUCCAUUUGAGGCGGUAUCAAGUGAACUGCCGCCGCUCAUGUCAAUACUGACGUUUAAUGCGGCAUUCAUUCAACCGCCGUUGGUCUGUGUAAAUCUCGGCGGUUCCUGUGGUAAAGCGGCGGCAGUUUUAUUGUGUUCCGCGGCGGCUGUAUUAGAAAUAAAUGUUCGUUCACGAUUAGGAAUGAGUACCCCCCUCUCUCUUAUUCUCUCGCACGAAAAUUUCACAACCCAGUUUUAGUGUGUAUCGCACGACCCCUUGUUUUCAAAAAAGAAAGCUUCAACACUUCUCUUCUCUUCUCUGCUUGUUCGACCCCUUGUUUUCAAUUUCAGUCAUAUAUUUUGUUGGACUGAAAGCAGUAGUAAGUGAAAGUGUGCAGCAACCACUACUCUGCUAUGACAACUUGAUCAGGACAAUUUUUCUAUUUCAAGAAGGAUAUUGUGUUUUCAAGGCUUACUGUCUUUGAUUGGCGUUGAUUACGGCGUUGGGAAAAGUACUCUAUUGUUGUAGACAAGGGGUAGUAGGAAGCAAGUGCCAUAGACAUGAUCGUGCCAGUAGGAUUGAGAGAAUCUUAAGCUUUUCAUGCAGCUGAUGGCAAUGCUGAACUGGUCUUGUCAAUGCAGGAACAGCAGUACAUCACCAAAGGGGAGCAGCCAAUUGAAUUUCCAUGACAGCAAUGUUUCUAUUCAAAGCUAUUGGCCCUGCUGCUGGUGGUACAAUGCACAAAUAACUUCAAUAUUGAGGAUGGUCCAUUAUUGUGACAAAGUGCAUGUGCUUAGGGAGACCAUUAAUAUCCUGUGGAAAUCGAGCAUGGUCCAUUAUAUAUUUUCUUUCUUCUUGAACUUCUCCUUUAAAAGUUUGAUUUUCUGCUCAGAACUUCUCCUGUGGAAGUUUGAGGAAAGGAAUCUUCAUUGCUGAAGCAGUUUUCAUCUUUGCAACCAUGAUUCUUAAAGUAUACUACUACAUGUACUUCACAAAGGCAACCACAACUCCACUUUCUCAGAAGACUAACAGGGUUAGUUCGUCAGUUGGAAUGACUGGAGAUACAUGAUGAAUCAUGGAUGAAUCAUGAAAGGGUAACAAAUUUUGAGUAUUCA